AUGGUGCUAUUAAAAUGUUACAGUAGGGGCCGGGGAUUUAGCUCAGUGUUCCACUGCCUGCCUUGCAGGCACAAGGAGCCGAGUUCGAUCCCUGGUACUAAAAAAAAAAAUAGCAAUGGNNNNNNNNNNNNNNNNNNNNNNNNNNNNNNNNNGCCUCACAAGCGCAAGGUCCUGAGUUUGAUCCCUGGUACUAAAAAAAAAAAUAAUGUUACAGUGACAGAAGAGCCUCUGGGAAAAAUGUAUAUUAGUAUUAUUUUAAUGCUAUUUAUUAUAAUGUGUGCUGCAUUACAAUAUGAAAAAUCCCCUCCAUUUGCUGUCAUCUCAUUUAUAAAUUAUUUGGUGAAAUUCAGCCAUCAGGAAAAGCUUCUACAAGAAGGAGAAAAGUACUUGCAAAGUAAAGAGGACCUGAGAUUAAUGCUCAUAGAACUAAGGAAGAAACAGGAAGCCGGUUUUGCCUUGCAACAUGGCCUGCAGGAGAAGAAAGCCCAGUUAAAAAUUUAUAAGAAAUUCCUCCAGAAAGCCCAGGAUUUGACAUCCUUGCUAAAGGAGUUAAAAUCUCAAGGAAAUUACCUGUUGGAAUGCACUAAAAAUCCCAGUUUUAGUGAAGAGCCAUGGCUGGAAAUCAAACAUCUCCAUGAAAGUCUUCUUCAGCAACUACAGGAUUCUGUGCAAACAUUGGAGGGUCAUGUUCAAGAACACCACUCAUACCAAGUUUGCAUCACAGACCUAAAUACUACAUUGGACAGUUUCUCUAAGGAAUUUGUCAAUUUUUCUGAUAUACCUGAGGAUCAAACAGCAGCUGAGGACAAAUUGCAGAAACUGCAGGAUCUGGAGAGUAGACUCGGUUUACAAGAUGACACAUUAAAGAAGAUUUUAGCGUUAGCAGAAUCCAUCAAUCCAAACACAUCUUCAGCGGGACAGAAGAUUAUUAAAGAUGAUAUAAAAUCACUUAAGCAUAAACAAAAAGAUUUGGAAAACAGGAUUGAGUUUGCUAAGCAAGAGACUGAAAAUCAUCUCAACAGCCUUCUCAAAUCAAAAUGUUCAACAGAAAAGCAGGAGAAGUCUGCUCUGCUGAGCGGGGAGGAGCAGGCCACUUCUGAUGUGCUGGAGUCCACUCAGGACUCCAUGGCGGAGGGAAAGUUGGAGGGAGACUGGGAAAUAAACAAGGUAAGUACUUGUGAUUACAGUUUCUAUGACUUCAUGUCUGAAAAUGAAGAGGUAUUUGGUUCUGCAAAGAGGGUUGUGAAUCAAGUGUUCUGAUUUCAUAAUUAAAUCCUCAAUGUCCUGGUUAUUUAUGAAGCUCACUUGUGAAAAGAGCCCUUAGAAAAUAGUCCAGGUUUCAGUGGUGAAAUAUUACUGUUCAGUCUGUUUAAAUGACAGUCAUCAAUUUAGAUUUAUUAUUCUCACUGCUAUGUAAUCAGAUACAAUUUCUUGGGUCAAGAGCACAAAGGCAAAUUAGGAAAGGCAAAAGAAAAGAAAAUGUGCUCUACCCGUUUCCUCAAUCAAAAAAAAAGUUCAAGAGUCCAGUUUUUGUGGGGUUUUUUGGCAGGAGUGGAGGUGAUUUUGUGGAUGACAUCAAACUGUUGGAAAGGAAUAGGUUGCUUUAUUUUCUUUGUUAACCCUAGACUGCAAAUAUACUUUUUUAUUUAUCAUUCAUUUAUUUAUUUAUUUUUGGUACCAGGGAUCGAACUUGGGUCCUUGCACUUUCGGGACAGGCAGCAGAACCACUGAGCUAAAUCCCCGGCCCUUGCAAAUAUACUUUUAAAUGUUGUCAGAUCAUUUAGGAUGAAAUUAUCAACUUUCUCUUAAUUUUCCCUGGGUAGAAAGAAUAACGUUUUCUUAAUUUCAUUCUAAACAAUCAAAAUGCGUGCAUUCCCCUGGCUCAUAAAAUGAAUGCUUGCAGAUUGUGUGGGGAGGGCACAGAGAGUGCGGCCCAGCUCACUGGGCGUGGAAGCCGCUUCCUGCCGGCCUCUCAUGGUGCAGGCUGAGGCGAACAGGGAGGCCCAAGCGCUCAGAGCAAGAGCUCAUGAUGGGAUAGGGAAUUGUGUACUUGGUUGGGCUUCCUGGAACAAAUACGCAUGGGAGAUUAAAGGAACCAGCUGAGAUUUUUCUAGAAAUGUGUAAAACAAAGUUAAUGCCAGAGGAGCCUGUUUCUAGCCAUCGGGAGUAUCUUUUCAUAAAUCCCACCAUAUUAGGUGUUACUAAGUGGUUAAAGCCUCAGGUGGUGAAACUCUUGAGAUUAUACCGCGGACCCUCAAGUUACGACCAGACUGACAUACAAACAUCUUGGGUUAAUUAGGUUAAUGGAAGAUUCACCUACCUUUUGUUAUCUAUAGCAUAUACCCAGGUAAACAUCCACAUCUCAGCUGUAUUGACUUAAAACCAACUUGAGUUACAACCAGCCCUCGGGAACCAAUUGAGUUUGCAAGUCAAGGGUCCACUGUAUAUGUAAAAGAAACUUUCCUAACAGCGUUUAAAGUGGAAUCAGUAACAAAAAAGGAAAAGCAUGAGUGGUUCACAUGAGGUAAAUUACGAGAGGAUGUACUUUCAUGAAAUUGUGUAACUUCUAAACUAGCUUCUCAGACCCACUUCGACCAUGAGUCCCACAAUUCAGAAGAGUAUAUACUGAAGACUGUAUAAAGAUCAUAACUCAGUAUGUUUUCUUAACUUAAGUUUUUUACUUAAUCUUGAAUGAUAAUCUUGAAUGAUAAUUCAGGAUACAUCAUUGAAAUGAUUUUUUUUCAGAGCAGAUGAAAGGAUUUAAGUCUGCCAACAAUUUUCCUAGGUCUGGAUUACAGAAAACUAAUUUUAAUUCUCAAGCAAGAUUUUUCUUCUACUCUUUUGUAACAUGAAUUGUUUUUUCUGAAUCU
rnacentral:lncRNA from 1 species